rnacentral:rRNA from 1 species
UUCCGGUUGAUCCUGCCGGAGGUCACUGCUAUUGGGGUUCGGCUAAGCCAUGCGAGCGGAGGGCGCGGUCGCAAGAUCGUGGCCCCGCACACGGCUCAGUAACACGCAGUCAACCUACCCUUGGGACGGGGACAACGCCGGGAAACUGGCGAUAAUCCCCGAUAGGUGAGGGACGCUGGGAUGCUUCUUCGCUCAAAGCUCCGGCGCCCGAGGAUGGGACUGCGGCCUAUCAGGCUGUUGGUGGUGUGACGGACCACCAAACCUACGACGGGUACGGGCGAUGGGAGUCGGAGCCUGGAGAUGGGGACUGAGACAAGGCCCCAGGCCCUACGGGGCGCAGCAGGCGCGAAAACUCCGCAAUGCGCGCAAGCGUGACGGGGGAACCCCAAGUGCCGUUGGUCUUUUGAUCGACGGCUUUUCGGAAGUCCAAUAAGCUUCCGGAAUAAGGGCUGGGUAAGACUGGUGCCAGCCGCCGCGGUAACACCAGCAGCCCAAGUGGUGGCCGCGAUUAUUGGGCCUAAAGCGCUCGUAGCCGGAUCAGCAAGUCCUUUGUGAAAUCGGGCCGCCCAACGGUUCGGCGUGCAAAGGAUACUGUUGGUCUUGAGACCGGGAGAGGUCGGAGGUACUCUUGGGGUAGCGGUGAAAUGCUGUAAUCCUGGGGGGACCACCAGUGGCGAAGCGUCCGACCAGAACGGAUCUGACGGUGAGGGGCGAAGGCUAGGGGAGCGAACGGGAUUAGAUACCCCGGUAGUCCUAGCUGUAAAGCAUGCGGGCCAGGUGUCUAGCGCUCCUCGAGGGCGCUAUGUGCCGGAGGGAAGCCGUUAAGCCCGCCGCCUGGGAAGUACGGCCGCAAGGCUGAAACUAAAGAAAUUGGCGGGGGAGCACACAAGGGGUGGAACCUGCGGUCAUGGACUC